rnacentral:rRNA from 1 species
CAAAGGAGCAAUCCGCUGAAAGAUGGGCUCGCGUCCGAUUAGGUAGUUGGUGAGGUAACGGCCCACCAAGCCGACGAUCGGUAGCCGGACUGAGAGGUUGGACGGCCACAUUGGGACUGAGACACGGCCCAGACUCCUACGGGAGGCAGCAGUAAGGGAUAUUGGUCAAUGGGGGAAACCCUGAACCAGCAACGCCGCGUGAGGGAAGACGGUUUUCGGAUUGUAAACCUCUGUCCUCUGUGAAGAUGAUGACGGUAGCAGAGGAGGAAGCUCCGGCUAACUACGUGCCAGCAGCCGCGGUAAUACGUAGGGAGCGAGCGUUGUCCGGAUUUACUGGGUGUAAAGGGUGCGUAGGCGGCUGUGCAAGUCAGUAGUGAAAUCCAUGGGCUUAACCCAUGAACUGCUAUUGAAACUGCACAGCUUGAGUGAAGUAGAGGUAGGCGGAAUUCCCGGUGUAGCGGUGAAAUGCGUAGAGAUCGGGAGGAACACCAGUGGCGAAGGCGGCCUACUGGGCUUUAACUGACGCUGAGGCACGAAAGCGUGGGUAGCAAACAGGAUUAGAUACCCUGGUAGUCCACGCUGUAAACGAUGAUUACUAGGUGUGGGGGG